AUUUCCCUGCCGUGCGCGUUAGGAGGUUGGUGAUUGUUGAACCAACAUAAAUAUAAGGGGAGCCGCAACUUCUUUUAAGGCCAAGGUUUUAAAAGAGCGGUUUCCACCUGAACUUCGGGUUCAGACCAUCAAAAUCCAACGGCACAGUGCGGGGAUUUU
rnacentral:other from 1 species